UUGGCGGUUGGGUCGAUUUCACGGGUCACCACCAGGUACUCGCGCAACGCGAUGGCGUGCAGGUGUUC
rnacentral:sRNA from 1 species